UCAUCUAGUCCAACCCCCUGCCAAAGCAGGGCCACCCAGAGCAGGUCCCACAGGAACGUGUCCAGGUCCUUAUAAACGUCCUGACCUCCCUGCUUUGGCCUGCAAAUGGAGAAAAGUGCUUACAGAUUUGCAAGCUCAUAAGAACAUAACAAAGAAAUGGAAACAUGAAGAAGAAAGAUGCAACGCAGCUGGUGGUGGGUCUGCUCCUUAGUGGCUGUUCUUCACUCCCCCCACUAGAUAGUGGUGCACGUUGAAAAGAGACCUCCAAGUCUUCUCUCCCCUGGUGGAACAUCAGCCUCUCCUCCUGCACCAGAUGUUUGAGUCCCUUCUCCAUCUUCCUGGGCUGUCUCAGGACCUGGGGAGCAAGUGCAAGAGAACAGGGACACACCAUCCCAGAUGAGGUCGGAUCAGCACUGAAUAGAGGGUUCAGAAGAUUUGACUACAGCUUCUAAACCAGCACGCGUGGCAAUACUUUAAAAGAAGGGAAGACAAUACUUGAGGAAACUACAGGUGACUCACAGAGAGACGGGGAAGCUCAAGCCAUAGAUGUGAGAAAUUGAAAACGUGACUAAGAAACGCCGCCAUCACGAAACUCUGAGAUGAAAACACCAAGAUUAACACAGCACGUAUACAAGCUCACUCUAGCUUCACAGGGACUGGACGUGCCAGCAUCACAUUUCCAAACAUUCCCAAUUCUGAGGAAGAAACUGCAAACGUUUGCUACUCAAAAAAUAACGUAUGUAUGUAACUAAGGGAGAUUCGGAAAGAAAGGAAGAAAAAAAAGGAACUCACUCCCUUCAUAGGACUUAAAAAUUCAGCCAGGAAGGCAGCUAUGAAAUAUUCUAGCCUUGUCAUACAUUCUACAGACACAUGUAACAACAUAAGAACUUUAUGUAGGAAGAGAACAUAACAAGCAUUAUAAUGGAGCAUGUUCCAGAGUAUCUCUUCUUUUUGGAAGUACCACACCAACACGCACAAAGGACGGCAUUCCCAAAUCAGGCCAGCGUCAAAAUAUUAGUUUAACUUAAAAUACAAGUUAAAAUAUUAUUUAAUAAUAACAUAACCAGUUAGAAUAAUAUUUAAUAAUUACAGCCUUCUUUGGCAUGCUUAUCAGGAACAUCGCGCAUCACUUCGGAAAGCUGUUUUCCAGAAGAACUGCGGUUUGAUUUUGGCUGUACCAUUUUUUUGGGUGUAAACCCAGUCAGGAGAGGCACACAUCCAAACAAUUUUGUCCCAAACACGGCGCAGUAUCAAGAAUAAGGUGCGAUUUUUAUUUCUCAGACAAAACACCUGUUGGCCUCUUUGGAGUUUCACUAGGGUCAGAUUUCAAACCACAGAAACUUUUACCAAUUUCAAGAUUCAUUCCCUUUCCCUCCGUAGAAUUAAAUAAGUGACAGCUUUUUUGUAUCACUGAGGAUGUUAAGCAUAU